UCUUGCUGAUGUACCAGUUCUUCUGGGCCACACUGGGCUGAGUGGGGUACACGCAGGUCUCACCAGUCUCCAUGUUGCAGAAGACUUUGAUGGCAUCCAGGCUCUUGAGGGUGGUGUCCACCUCGAGGUCACGGUCACGAACCACAUUGGCAUCAUCAGCCCGGUAGUAGCGGCCACCAUCGUGAGCCUUCUCUUGAGGU
rnacentral:lncRNA from 1 species